UGGGGAAUUUUGGACAAUGGGGGCAACCCUGAUCCAGCAAUGCCGCGUGUGUGAAGAAGGCCUUCGGGUUGUAAAGCACUUUUGUCCGGAAAGAAAUCGCCCUGGCUAAUAUCCGGGGUGGAUGACGGUACUGGAAGAAUAAGCACCGGCUAACUACGUGCCAGCAGCCGCGGUAAUACGUAGGGUGCGAGCGUUAAUCGGAAUUACUGGGCGUAAAGCGUGCGCAGGCGGUUGUGCAAGACAGAUGUGAAAAUCCCCCGGGCUUAACCUGGGAAUGGCAUUUGUGACUGCACGGCUAGAGUGUGUCAGAGGGGGGUAGAAUUCCACGUGUAGCAGUGAAAUGCGUAGAUAUGUGGAGGAACACCGAUGGCGAAGGCAGCCCCCUGGGAUAACACUGACGCUCAUGCACGAAAGCGUGGGGGAGCAAACAGGAUUAGAUACCCUGGUAGUCCACGCCCUAAACGAUGUCAACUAGUUGUCGGGUCUUAAUUGACUUGGU
rnacentral:rRNA from 1 species